AGUCUGCAGCUUUGCACAUGACGUAGCGCAGGCUAGCGGCAUCGACGCCGGCGUCGUCAGGCGCGCGAGACAGCUCUUGGACUGCAUUACGAAUAACAAGUUACCGCCUGAAAACAAGAAAAUAACCGCAAAACUCAAGAGCUUCACUGAAAUAAUCAAAAACGACCUUCUCGCAGAAGACAUUUAAUCGUUCGACAAAAUUCGCACCAAUACAUGUAUACGAUGCGUAGCUUAGCUUAAUAACAAUAAAUAUUUAUAUAAA